GGUUAAGCGACUAAGCGUACACGGUGGAUGCCCUGGCAGUCAGAGGCGAUGAAGGGCGUGCUAAUCUGCGAUAAGCGCCGGUAAGGUGAUAUGAACCGUUAUAACCGGCGAUACCCGAAUGGGGAAACCCAGUGUGACUCGUCACACUAUCAUUAACUGAAUCCAUAGGUUAAUGAGGCGAACCGGGGGAACUGAAACAUCUAAGUACCCCGAGGAAAAGAAAUCAACCGAGAUUCCCCCAGUAGCGGCGAGCGAACGGGGAGGAGCCCAGAGCCUGAAUCAGCAUGUGUGUUAGUGGAAGCGUCUGGAAAGGCGCGCGAUACAGGGUGACAGCCCCGUACACAAAAGCGCAUGUGCUGUGAGCUCGAUGAGUAGGGCGGGACACGUGGUAUCCUGUCUGAAUAUGGGGGGACCAUCCUCCAAGGCUAAAUACUCCUGACUGACCGAUAGUGAACCAGUACCGUGAGGGAAAGGCGAAAAGAACCCCGGCGAGGGGAGUGAAAAAGAACCUGAAACCGUGUACGUACAAGCAGUGGGAGCACCCUUUGGGGUGUGACUGCGUACCUUUUGUAUAAUGGGUCAGCGACUUAUAUUCUGUAGCAAGGUUAACCGAAUAGGGGAGCCGGAGGGAAACCGAGUCUUAACCGGGCGUUAAGUUGCAGGGUAUAGACCCGAAACCCGGUGAUCUAGCCAUGGGCAGGUUGAAGGUUGGGUAACACUAACUGGAGGACCGAACCGACUAAUGUUGAAAAAUUAGCGGAUGACCUGUGGCUGGGGGUGAAAGGCCAAUCAAACCGGGAGAUAGCUGGUUCUCCCCGAAAGCUAUUUAGGUAGCGCCUCGUGAAUUCAUCUCCGGGGGUAGAGCACUGUUUCGGCUAGGGGGCCAUCCCGGCUUACCAACCCGAUGCAAACUGCGAAUACCGGAGAAUGUUAUCACGGGAGACACACGGCGGGUGCUAACGUCCGUCGUGAAGAGGGAAACAACCCAGACCGCCAGCUAAGGUCCCAAAGUCAUGGUUAAGUGGGAAACGAUGUGGGAAGGCCCAGACAGCCAGGAUGUUGGCUUAGAAGCAGCCAUCAUUUAAAGAAAGCGUAAUAGCUCACUGGUCGAGUCGGCCUGCGCGGAAGAUGUAACGGGGCUAAACCAUGCACCGAAGCUGCGGCAGCGACGCUUAUGCGUUGUUGGGUAGGGGAGCGUUCUGUAAGCCUGUGAAGGUGGCCUGUGAGGGUUGCUGGAGGUAUCAGAAGUGCGAAUGCUGACAUAAGUAACGAUAAAGCGGGUGAAAAGCCCGCUCGCCGGAAGACCAAGGGUUCCUGUCCAACGUUAAUCGGGGCAGGGUGAGUCGACCCCUAAGGCGAGGCCGAAAGGCGUAGUCGAUGGGAAACGGGUUAAUAUUCCCGUACUUGGUGUUACUGCGAAGGGGGGACGGAGAAGGCUAUGUUGGCCGGGCGACGGUUGUCCCGGUUUAAGCGUGUAGGUGUGUGUUCCAGGUAAAUCCGGUUCACUUUAACACUGAGGCGUGAUGACGAGGCACUACGGUGCUGAAGCAACAAAUGCCCUGCUUCCAGGAAAAGCCUCUAAGCAUCAGGUAACAUCAAAUCGUACCCCAAACCGACACAGGUGGUCAGGUAGAGAAUACCAAGGCGCUUGAGAGAACUCGGGUGAAGGAACUAGGCAAAAUGGUGCCGUAACUUCGGGAGAAGGCACGCUGACACGUAGGUGAAGUGAUUUACUCAUGGAGCUGAAGUCAGUCGAAGAUACCAGCUGGCUGCAACUGUUUAUUAAAAACACAGCACUGUGCAAACACGAAAGUGGACGUAUACGGUGUGACGCCUGCCCGGUGCCGGAAGGUUAAUUGAUGGGGUCAGCGCAAGCGAAGCUCCUGAUCGAAGCCCCGGUAAACGGCGGCCGUAACUAUAACGGUCCUAAGGUAGCGAAAUUCCUUGUCGGGUAAGUUCCGACCUGCACGAAUGGCGUAAUGAUGGCCAGGCUGUCUCCACCCGAGACUCAGUGAAAUUGAACUCGCUGUGAAGAUGCAGUGUACCCGCGGCAAGACGGAAAGACCCCGUGAACCUUUACUAUAGCUUGACACUGAACAUUGAGCCUUGAUGUGUAGGAUAGGUGGGAGGCUUUGAAGUGUGGACGCCAGUCUGCAUGGAGCCGACCUUGAAAUACCACCCUUUAAUGUUU
rnacentral:rRNA from 1 species